AUUUUUGAAAUGAGGAAACUAAAGCUUAGAAAAGUUAAAUCCCAAGGCCAAGACCAUACAACCAGGUCUAAUGCUUUUCAUGAUCAUAACACAUGGUCUUAAAUGCCUUUUUUUGGCUUUCACCAAAUAGUAAUAGAAAAAACAUUCAACUUUGACAUUUUAAUUUAGCAUAACACUCAUUAAAUAAUCCAGUGCUUCCACAAUCAGGUAGAACAUGGCUUCAUAUUCCAUAGGGCUCUACCUCAGUUUAUUCAUUCAUAAGGUAGAAAUGAUGAAGCCUGCCUCUUCUCUGGGAGAUUAUGAGAUUUAAUGAGGGCAAUGGUUAUUAUGCUUUGAAGUUAGAAAGUGCUUAUUAAUAUCAGGGAUCAUGAUUAUGUUUCCCAAUAAGAUAUCCUUGUCUUUAAAGCCAGUUGCCUGGUAUGAGCCCCAAGGUUCCCCAGAGGGAAUGGUAAAGGGAACAUUCACGUUGGAUGCCUAAUUCAGCCCAUAUGGUUUUGCAGUGAUUCCAUAAGUGAGGAGGAGAGGAAAUAAUCCCAUCUUUUUAACUUUCAAGUGUGGGAACAUUAGAGUUUGCUCCUUAGUGAUCAUAACAUUCAGGAAUGUUGGCACCUUUUCUUCCUGACUUCACGUUACGAAACCCAGGGAGUGUUGAGUAACAGGAUGUACGUUCAUGCCAUUUUCAGUUUCUUUGGGGGUUCGUUUUGGGAAACCUUCCUUCAAGCAAGAGCUUCAGUGGUUAGACACAGAACAGCCCUUUAACCUCAGGGCUGUUGUCUCCAAUGUGGUGUAAAGGUCCUGAAGUGUGGAGUAAGAGUUGGAUUCUGUUCCUGAUCAGUUAGGAGCCAUUGUUUGCAAAUAUGUUCCCCGAUGGAAAAGGAUCAGAUCCCGGACGGUUGAUUAGACAGAAUUGGAAAUCAUACAGGAGGAAACGGUGGGUGUGGACAUGAGGAUGUAUUGAUCAUGAAUUAUCUAAAUUUUUUUCCUGUUCCACUAAUUGAAAAACAUGGAGUGCUCUUCAAUGGAAAGACCAGUUCUUUGAAAUUUGGAACAAUGCAUUUUCUUCAUUGCCAAAAAGACCCUGAGCACACCCAAUUGUGUACAAAAAGAACCAAGAAGAAUGCAGAGCACACGGUAGUAGUUCAGUCAAUGAUUAUGGAAUAAAGAAGGAAGAAAAUGAAGGCAAGAGCUUGCAGUAAGUUGUGCAGAAUCACAGAGCUACUACGGACAGAGCUGAACUUGAAGUCACGUCUAACUAGUUCCAAAGUCUUUGCAGUUUGCACCCCAAAAAGCUGCUGAUGCCUGGAGAAAAAUAAUGGCUAAUAUUUACUAAAUGUUUACUGUGUGUCAGAUACUGUUCUAACUUCUUCACAUACAUUAAAUGAUUUCUUCCCGCUGGAAAAAAACAAAAACCUUUGUGGUAGAUACUAUUAAUAGUAUCCCCAUUUUCCAGAUCAAGUUACAGAGACUUUGAGAGUUAUGGAAUUUUUCCAAGAUUCUAAAUUUUGUAAAUUAUUGAGAGGAAGUUGGACACAGGCAGACUUACUCCAGAGCCGUCCUUGUUAUUCAGAGUGAACCUGGCUUAUGAAACAAGGACUACAGAAGUGUUAAGAGUGAGGGCACAGCCAGCUUGAUGAGUGGAGAAUGGUGGUCAUAGACAAUCUGAGUUGGAAAGCAUUUUAGUGGUCACAUCCCACCCAAACCCGCUUAUCUGGUAGCUUAAAACCAUGUUC